rnacentral:rRNA from 1 species
GACGAACGUUGGCGGCGUGCUUAACACAUGCAAGUCGAACGGUGAAGCGCCUUCCUUUUUGGUUGGUGUGGAUGAGUGGCGAACGGGUGAGUAACACGAGAGGAACCUGCCCCCUUCUUCUGGAUAACCGCAUGAAAGUUUGGCUAAUACGGGAUAUUCUGGGUCUGUCGCAUGAUGGGUCUGUGGAAGAUAUUGUUUCGGUGGGGGAUGGGCUCGCGGCCUAUCAGCUUGUUGGUGGGGUGAUGGCCUACCAAGGCGGUGACGGGUAGCCGGCCUGAGAGGGUGCACGGUCACAGUGGGACUGAGACACGGCCCAGACUCCUGCGGGAGGCAGCUGUGGAGAAUAGUGCACAGUGGGCGCGAGCCUGAUGCAGCGACGCCGCGGGAGAGAUGGAGGCCUGCGUGUUGUGAACCUUUUUCGGGAGUGAAGCAGGCCUGCCUCGUUUGUGGGUGGGUUGACGGUAGCUGGAUAAGUAGCGCCGGCUAACUACGUG